GAUCAUGGCUCAGGAUGAACGCUAGCGACAGGCUUAACACAUGCAAGUCGAGGGGGUAGCAUGAUUUGUAGCAAUACAGAUUGAUGGCGACCGGCGCACGGGUGAGUAACGCGUAUGCAACUUACCUAUCAGAGGGGGAUAGCCCGGCGAAAGUCGGAUUAAUACCCCAUAAAACAGGGGUCCCGCAUGGGAAUAUUUGUUAAAGAUUCAUCGCUGAUAGAUAGGCAUGCGGUU
rnacentral:rRNA from 1 species